rfam:Triticum aestivum genome assembly, contig: Triticum_aestivum_CS42_TGACv1_scaffold_576885_7BL
UUAAUACUUCCUCCAUCCAAAAAUAGUUGUGAUCAAAACAGAUAGAAAAAGAUGUAUCUAGAACUAAAAUACAUCUAGAUACAUCCUCCUUUAUUCAUUUUGGUGACAACUAUUUCGAGACGGAGGUAGUAGUAA